rnacentral:rRNA from 1 species
UACGUAGGGUGCGAGCGUUGUCCGGAAUUAUUGGGCGUAAAGAGCUUGUAGGCGGUUUGUCGCGUCUGCCGUGAAAGUCCGGGGCUCAACUCCGGAUCUGCGGUGGGUACGGGCAGACUAGAGUGAUGUAGGGGAGACUGGAAUUCCUGGUGUAGCGGUGGAAUGCGCAGAUAUCAGGAGGAACACCCGUGGCGAAGGCGGCACUCUGGGACGGUACUGACGCUGAGACGCGAAAGCGUGGGGAGCGAACAGG